rnacentral:miRNA from 2 species
UGCUGCCUGGUAAGAGCUGUGA